rnacentral:rRNA from 1 species
GAUGAACGCUGGCGGCGUGCCUAAUACAUGCAAGUCGAGCGAACAGACGAGGAGCUUGCUCCUCUGACGUUAGCGGCGGACGGGUGAGUAACACGUGGAUAACCUACCUAUAAGACUGGGAUAACUUCGGGAAACCGGAGAUAAUACCGGAUAAUAUAUUGAACCGCAUGGUUCAAUAGUGAAAGACGGUUUUGCUGUCACUUAUAGAUGGAUCCGCGCCGCAUUAGCUAGUUGGUAAGGUAACGGCUUACCAAGGCAACGAUGCGUAGCCGACCUGAGAGGGUGAUCGGCCACACUGGAACUGAGACACGGUCCAGACUCCUACGGGAGGCAGCAGUAGGGAAUCUUCCGCAAUGGGCGAAAGCCUGACGGAGCAACGCCGCGUGAGUGAUGAAGGUCUUCGGAUCGUAAAACUCUGUUAUUAGGGAAGAACAAAUGUGUAAGUAACUAUGCACGUCUUGACGGUACCUAAUCAGAAAGCCACGGCUAACUACGUG